rnacentral:rRNA from 1 species
GACGAACGCUGGCGGCGUGCCUAACACAUGCAAGUCGAACGGAAAGGCCCUGCUUUUGUGGGGUUCUCGAGUGCCGAACGGGUGAGUAUCACGUGUGUAACCUGCCCUUGACUUUGGUAUAACUUCAGGAAACUGGGGCUAAUACCGUAUAGGAGCUCCUGCUGCAUGGUGGGGGUUGGAAAGUUUCGGCGGUUGGGGAUGGACUCGCGGCUUAUCAGCUUGUUGGUGGGGUAGUGGCUUACCAAGGCUUUGACGGGUAGCCGGCCUGGGAGGGUGACCGGGGACAAGGGGACUAAGGGAGGGCCAAGACGGGAACGGGAGGCAGGAGGGGGAAAUAUUGCACAGUGGGCGGAAGUCGGAGGCAAAGACGCCGGGGGCGGGAAGACGGUUUGUGGGUUAUAAACCGCUGUAGCCUGUGACGAGGCGUGAGUGACGGUAAUGAGUAAAGAAGCACCGGCUAACUACGUG